GCGACCCGAGACGCCGAGGCCGAGGAGGCGCGGAGAGCGAGCGAAGGCUGCUAGCAAGUUGUCAUCUCUCAAUAGUUUUCUGGAAAGUGGGGCCAAAAGAGCUGUUUGGAUAAGCUCUUUGCCGAAGAAUAACGUGAGAAGGAAUUAUGUCUCUGAAUACUUUCUUACCCCAUCAAAUAUGAGCAAAUACUACACCUGUCAAAAUAGAUGAUAUGGGCUCCUUUGAAGAUUGGACUAGAACAUUCCAGAGAAGAUAUCAAGGAAUUAUUUCAGGAGGUAGCAAAGCCUGGCAAGGUGAAGAAAAUGUGACUGAAGAGAUUUUUUUCUGGUUCUCUUUUCAACUUUUGCAGCUUCAGUCUUCAUGUACAGAAAUAAAUUUUAUCUACAGUUAUCUCCUGGCGUUCAUUUAUGGACAUGAAAGACUAGCUACCAGCCCUCAGAUCCUAAACUUGGAUUUAAAAAAAAUCACAGUGGCUAUGGCAGGGUAACCUGUGCUGCUGCAGCCAGAGGGAUUGCUCUUUAGAUUUGGCUUGUGAAUUAGUUAAAAUACUUCAGGCUGAAAGUAGCCACAAAUUGAUUCAAACAAAACAAGAAGUCCAAGUAGGACCUGCUAAAAAUUAUUUAGGGAUUAUGAUUCCUUCAUGGUAUUUGACAAAGAACAUGAAGAGGGCAUAAAUGAUGAAGAUACUGGUUUUACACACUCACAGGGUAAUCCAGAAGGAAAAUG
rnacentral:lncRNA from 1 species